ACUUAAUAGUAGAAUCUCUCCAAGCACAAGGCAUUCCAACCGGCAUACAAGGACACAAGAGUCAGUAAAACCAAAUGUACCUCUCAAGAAUCUGGUAGGGAUCCACAAUGAGCUGAAGCUUUCCAUCUAUCCAAAUAGAAUAGCGGACAUUAGGAAAGAGCCUAUGCAGUAGGAGCUUAGGUACCUUCCCAUUGCGUCUCGCAUCAGAA
rnacentral:misc_RNA from 1 species